CAGUCAAGGCGUCAGGCUUCCACCCCCGGCGCAAGAUUCCUCGCGGCCGCCUGCCGUACGAGUGUGGACCGUGUCUCAUUCCCCAUGAUACCCGCCCGUCUGUCCGGGUAAUUCCGGAUACCCCGGGGUGCCGCAUGGCACCCCGGCUAAAGCCCCGACGGGAGGGGAUGGCUCCGCGGCCCAUCAGGUAGACGGCGGGGUGCCGGCCCACCGUGCCGACAACGGGUAGCCGGGUUGAGAGACCGACCGCCCAGAUUGGGAGUGAGACACGGCCCAGACUCCUACGGGAGGCAGCAGUGGGGAAUCUUGCGCAAAGGGGGGAACCCUGUCGCAGC
rnacentral:rRNA from 1 species